UCUGGACUCUGUAAAGUCGAAAUAUUUUUUUUCUGAUUUGAAUAAGAUACAAAUAACUGUUAUUAUCUUAUAAGUUCAAAUUUUGAGUCUGAACUUCCUGUUUAUUUUAUGGUUUCCAGUCCAUUGGGAUUUCUUUUGUGUAGGCAUGGUGCUGAUCCUCUGUGUCUUUCGUACCUCUUCCUGCAGCAUGGCUGUUCACUCGGAUGGAUUAAUUUGCCAUGCUCACUGCUGUUUCGUCUGCUUUGUUACUUUCUCCCUGAAGCAGAGGCGAUGAAAGGUUCAGAUUGUUGCCCUUGUGAGAAGAACUCAUAGUGCUGUGAAAACGGACUCAAGGUUCUCCUUCUCUUCCUAUCUUCAAAAAAAGUUAUGCUCUAAUAUUAACAAUGACUAGAAGUUAUCUGAGAGACAUCUGAAACGUUUUGAAAAGAGUUAUCUUCAGUUUUGCUGCUGGCUCUGCAACAGCGUACUCAUACUCAAAUUGCUUCAAGGCCUCUUCAUUUCCAUGGAGGAAAGGACUAAGAUUAAUGAGGGUUUUCUGAAAAGUUUUGAUGACAAAUUUAUUGGGAAAUAUGAAUAUGGAACAUUUCUGUCUCUAGAAACAAUGAAAACAGUAAAAAACCAUUACCAAGUCCCCAACGUAUUGCUUUUACACUGAAAAGUGAAAAUGGAAUAAGGAGGGAAGUAGACAUCAAUAUUAUGUCUUCCAGAUGAGUUUUUUUUUUUUAAACCCACAUGACCACAGCAAAGUGAGGCAGGAUUCUGAGAAGUCAAUGACAGAGACCGAAUACGUCCAAGCUGUAAACAUUUUAUGAGUUAUCAAACAAGACACGUUUUAACUUGUGACUCUGGAAAAUGGUAGCUGAUCAGUAUAAUUUAAGGUUGAAGGUGUUUCUGUCAGAAAUAUUUGAAGGUUCUUGAUGCUGGAAGGACUGAAUAGACCAGAGCAGGAAGAAUCUCAGGCUGUCUCAGGCUUUACUUUGCCAGUGUCACACUGAUUGAUAUAUGACCAUAGAGGGUUCUAAACUUCUGCUCUUUGUUUCCAAACAGUAGAAGCACAAGCAGGAACAUGUGUGCUCUAUUCCGCUUAGGGAAAAGCUUAGAAGCAACUCAUGGUGAGCUAAACUGAAUGCACCCUGUUGUUCCAAGCGGGAGUUUUUCUUGCCUCAGCCAACUGACAGCAGACUCUCAGACCUGAUAGAGCUGAAGGAAUCUACUUAUAGAGAAGGCGCAUCUGAAGGAGGUUCUGAAAUUCUGAGAUGACCCGAGAGCUCUCGACAUAUGGUAAUCUACCUCUCAACACUGCAAAUUCAUUCGUAUGGACCAGCAAGCUCUUCCUUUAGGGCACAAUGGGCCUUGGGCAGCCAGUUAGAAUGGUGUCAGUGUGACAUUUUGUGUGAUACAUAGUGUUCUCUGCUCAAAGAUGUUUCUGGGACAGAGAAGAAACGUUGUGAACUUUUGUGUCAAGAUAUGAACAAGGGAGAAACUGGACUGGAAGGAUCCUCUUUGUACCUGAGCUCUGUUAGAAGGAAACUGGAACUAUAAUCUCUUUUCCUGGCAGUGCCUUCUCUUCUCCUGGCAGCAUCCUCUUCACAAAGUGGAGUUGAUGUGGUUUUCAGUGUCACUUUUCAACACCACAGAUGUUUAUUAAAGGUUCACUUUGUGCCUUAAACUACACACAUGACGAAAAUGAAUACCUCACUGUGGCAUGUAGAUGAGUGUGGAAGCAGACACGGACAGUUCACGAUUGGAGAGAAUGCAAGCAGAACAGAGACAGGAACUCUGAAUGUGGAGGGGAGAUACCUACUCGCUGCACUCCCAAAGCAAACAUUUUCACUGCUAAUCUGAAGUAUAUCCAGCUACGCAUUGAAGUGGAACCUUUUCUUCAUCAUCCGAGAUUGUGGAAAACACCAACAUCCUUGAAAACAUAAGCUGAAAUCAAGGACAGAGUGUGCAUAAAGUGGAGAAAACUGGUUUUCCGUGCAUUAAGGUCCCUACUGUUGGAAGUGAAGACUUUCACCAGGGUAUACAAUGAAAGGGUAUGGUGAAUUUUAAUCUGCUAUGGCUGCCCGUUAAUUUUAGCUCCUUAUAACAGACAAACGAGGAAAAGAAGACAUGAAGGCAAGUUACUCUCAGGAAUAGAAACUCUUUGAAAUCAAGGGUACCAUGGAUCCGCUAAUGUGCUUCCAUCCAGUAUUCUUCUGUCCACUAUGGCAAGAUGGUACUAGACAAACAGCAAUCACAGUCAGGAAUGACAUUUGGACCAUAAAAAAACCUCCUCAGAGAUAAACACGGAGUCACAGAACAGGCCACACACUUUGCAGACUGGUGUAAGAUGAGAGCGAUGAAAAGGAUUUGCCAGAAAUCACCUGCUUUGUCUUCUUUGCAAGUCAAGAAAAGCUGGAUAAAGACCUUCUUCUUACCAUUCCAUAGCGUUUUAAAGCCAAUUCUGACCCUCAUGAAGGACGCAUGAAAUCCUGAUACUUGACUGAAUUUAUUUAUGUAUUAGCUAUUCUCUCACUAUGGCAAUGUGCAGCAGUGGCCGGCAGCCCAGAACAACUCAUUCUCUCUUACCCCACCCCCAUGCUUCCAGGAAGUAGCACAUUGCUGGUUAACAGACCAGGCUAUAGAACACUUUGCUUUCUCGAAAUUCCUGUGACUAUAUUGAAUUGUCUGCCAACCAUAUACAUAUGGAUAACGAUAUGUUGGAGAGUUUUAAAGAUAAGUCACAUUGGUAAGAAUUUUGGUUGAGUUAGUAACUGAAAACAAAAAAAAGGAGUACAGAGGAAAACAGAGUUGGAGGGAAACAAAUAAGAACAAAGUAUCGACGAGUGGAGCAGAGACUGAAGGAAAGGCCAUCCAGAGACUGCCUCAUAUAGGGAUCCAUCCCAUCUGCAAUCACCAAAUCCAGACACUAUUGUGGAUGCCAAGAAGUGUUUGCUGGUAUAGCUGUCUCCUGAGAGGCUCUGCCAAAGCCUGAGCAAUACAGAUGCAGAUGCAAGCAGCCAAACAUCAGACUGAGUACAGGGUCCCCAAUGGAGAAGUUAGGGCAAGGACUGAAGGAGCUGUAGGGUUUGCAACCAUAUAUGAAGAACAACAAUAUCAACCAACCAGAUCCCACCUGCCCCCAAAGCUCCCAGGAACUAAACCACCAACCAAAGAGUACACAUGGGGGGCCUAUGGGUCCAGCUGGACAUGUAGCAGAAGACGGUCUUGUCGGACAUCAGUGGGAGGAGAGGCCCUUUGUCCUGUGGAGCCUUGAUGUAGGGGAGUACUAGGGUGCUGAUUCGGAUACCUAUAGUUAAAAUGGUGGAUGUGUGAAAGGAACAGACAUCAACAAAACGGUACGUGCUGUACUCACAGGCAGUAAUACAAAAUGUUCAUGCAUACAUCUGUUGCUCAUUCAUUUUUUUCCUGUUAUUUGCAUCAUCCUUUUGAAGAGGCUCCAGCAGCCUGUUGCUUGCCUCGGGGAACAUUGUAGAAGAGGAGACAGAAAGGAGCUGGAAGACCAGGAAAGCUUCUGUGAGAUUAUGACUCUUAGAAAUGACAGAGAAGCUAGGACUACAAAAAUACGGUUGCCUAAGCAAGACUCUUCAAUGCUGAAACAGAAGAAAGAUAUCCCAUGGGGCACUACCCACAGACAAAAGAUUACAGGCAAGGAAAGAAUGCUGAAAACAAGAGAAAUAGUGGUACCCCCCCCCAAGGAUGAGCCCCUCAAUUUGUUGUUAAUAGCAAGUAUUC
rnacentral:lncRNA from 1 species